GCGUCCUCGGCCAGGGGCAGCAGGUCCUCGAAGGAGGCACUGGGAACCUUCUGGGCCAGCGAGGCCAGGGAGCUGGGGAGCACAGGGAGUGUGGGGCUGGGGGCUUGGAUCCCCUCCCAGGAGCCAGCUCUGGGCAGGGAUCUGCAGCAGGAGAGAGGGGCCCUCGCCCAGCCCAGCCCUGUCCCAGGAUGGAGAGGCCAUUUCCCCCCGGACCUGAAGCUGGCUUUGUCCUUGCCGUAGGCCGAGAAGCGGGAGCAGAUCCGGUUUGACGUCAGGGUGAGCAGGGAGAUGGUUUUCCUCUCCAGUUUCUGCCACAAAAAGAGAAUGGAAGUGGAAAUGAGCACAGUGCUUGCCUGGCUCCCUGGGGGAGCGAGCAUGGGGGCGAGCCCAGCGCUCCCAAGGGUCUCACCUCCUUCAGGAAGCAGGCAGUGGGUGCAGGGGAGGUGCAGCAGGUGGAGACCAUGGAGAGGAAGGUGCCGGUGGAGGCCAGGAGCACAGGCAGGGGAGCCUGGCUGUAGCUGCUGGCAUACUCGUAAAGAAACCUGCGGCAGAGACGGGAUGAGGAGAGCCAGCGCCUCAGGGGGAUCAGGAGCACCAGUGGGGUUUGGGGCUGCUGAGGUGCUCCGGGGUGGGAGCCCUCUGCGGCACCACCCGAGGCUGUCAGCCCACGGCGCUGACCCCGCCGGGCUGAGCCUGGCUCACCUGUCGGCGAAUUCCCGGGGCUGCAGGCGGAAGGCGUGGCAGAGCUCCCUGUCGGAGGGCUGCAGGAACCGGGGCAGGGCCGGGGGCGGGUGCCGCAGGGCGGCCAGGCACAGCUUGCGCUCCAGCCCCUGCUGGCCGCAGCACUGCGCCGUGCCGGGAUGCGCCGGGAAGGGCGAGUCCGCCCGGCAGGACUUCUCCGACAGCGCCGUGGACUGCGGGGGGGACACGAGGUUACGGCCACGCCGUCCCUUCCCCUGGCCCGGUUUUGGGCUCUCUGAGGUGUUUUUGGUCAGGCUCACCCCGGCGUCGUAGCAGGAGGGGUCAGCCCCGUCGGCGCAGCAGGUCUCGACCAGGGAGACGAUGUCCCGGACGAGGUGGUCGAUCUCCUGGAAGGUGCCGUUGGAAUAUUUCCGGCUGGUGUCAAUGAUGGUCCUGGGGGCAAGGACAGGGAGAGCCAGUGAGCCUUUAUCUUCAAUCAGAAAUCACCUCGCAGGACUGUUCUGCCCAAAUGGGUUUGACAGGGCUGGCUGGGGUGCAGAGAGAAAUCACAGUGUAUUCCUUGGGAAACAGCCAGGAAAGAACUGGAACGGCUUCCAGGCUGGGGGCUGCCACUUAGAGGGGACUCUGUGCCAACUCUGUGAGAAUUCCUAAUCAUUUAGGUACUUAAUUGGUUUUUCUGAGGAAUUCAACAAGGAAUCAAACUUUUCUCCUGCUAAAAGCAAUCAGAGCCCAGGGAUUGAAUUGCAUCUCCCCUUUUUGAUGAAUUGAAUCCAUCUGCCCUUUUCCAUGAUUUUUAUUUACUGUUUUCUGUCCCUGGCUCAGGUGUCAAGCCUCCUGGGAGAGCACCAGCAGCAGGAGGUACCUACAGGGUUCUGAAGUUCUCCUUGCCCAGGAUCUUGUACUCCUGGCAGACCUUCUCCCGGACAUAAGCUUUCCCUGGAAGUGCAGGAGAAGGAGGAAUUGAUUUGGAGGUCCCUGGGGAAAUGUUGGCACAGCCAGUCUGGGAGAAGCAUCCCUGGUGUCCAGGCUGCUGCUCCAGCUCUGCAGCCAGGAAAAGGGGCAGGGAAAAAACCCCCUCUGGAGCUGGGAGAGCUACAGCAGGAACGUCAGCUCCCGGUCCCAGCCUGUGGCAUUUGUGUUUGCUUGUGCAAAGCCGUGUGGCAGAGGUGAGUUUUGGCUGGUUUUUGGCAGCUGGGGGAUUCCCUGUGGAGCUGAGAAGGCAGCAAAGAGCGGCAGAGCAUCGUCUCCACCAAGGGGUGAAUUUUGCACGGGAAUGGUGCUUGCCAGCGGGAUCAGGAAAUCCCAGUUUCCUUUGGAAAGAGAAGGAGCCGAUCCCUGUGGCUCUGUCCUCUCCCUUCCCACCUCCCCCAGCACCACCCCAAAUGGUAUCCUGGAUCCCAAGCCAUCCUCUCAGCCCUUCCCUUCCCUCUCUGGUCCUGCCCAGUGGUUUGGCUGCAGGCUGGGAGAGGGGAGGCCACCGAAAACCUCCGGGAUUGAGGCCCCAUCCCCGUGCCCCUCAUCCCAGGGCCAGCACAGCCCCGGGAUCACCUCCCUUACCUCGGUGUAACGCCUGUGCAGCGGCCAAGAGCGGCAGCAGGACCAGGACUGCCCUCAUGCUGGAGCUGGUGGAGCUGGCUCUCCUCCUCCUGCCGGGAAGCGGCGCUGGGAAUCCCAUCCCGGGGUUUUUAUGGAGGCAGGGUCAGCAGCUGGGAGAAUGAUUAAGCCCAGAGGGCAAGCAUCCUUGGCCUGCCCCCUGGGGCCUGGCUGCCAGGGCCUCAGAGACCCGGCUGCUUUGAAUCAUUAACUUGGACAGAUGGGGAUGGGUGGCCCUGAAACCUCGGGAUCUGGGAGGGAUUCUGGGAGCAACACGGACACGGUGAACCCCGUGAGAGGAAAGCCCUGUGUGCUCAGGACAGUGUGUGAUCCUGAGGGAGGAGACACGCUUUUUUUGGGAUGUCAGCUCACCAAAGCCGCUGGUGCUGCUGGGAAAUGCUGGCUGCUGUCCUUGGAAGCUCGGCUCCAGGCUGCAGCUGGGGUUUCAUUCCUGCCACUGCUGGCUUGGGGUCUCUGCUUUGCAGCCCCAUCCCAGAUUUCUGCUGGGAGUGUUGUAGAGCUCUGUGGGGUCUCCCUGCAGAGCAGCUUUCCCUUUGUCCUUAGAAAAAUGACAAUUCAGCAUCUUAUCAUCUUCUAGGGUCCUCAGACAAGCCGAGGAAGAGGAGGAGAUCCAGCUGAAGGGAUCCUCACUGGUCCUGCCGGGGCAAUCGGAGAGAGGGAAGUCAAUAGGGAGGGAUGGAGAUCCAGCUGCUGCAGUGAGAGCCCCGGCCCCAAAUCCACCCAGCCUCCCCAUGCACCCUGCACUCACCCGAGGACAGAUGUUCCCUCUCAGACCACACCCCUGGGACAAAGACAGAGCUGAUUUUUAUGGAUGAUCCCGGGUUUUUCUCCGAGGGAUCUUCACUGACAGUGAGCUGCAGCUUGGGACCAAAUCGUGCCCAGGCAGGACAUAACCAUGUCCUGUUCUUGAUGGUUUAUGUGUGAAAACUGAAAAUAAAUAAUUAGGGACUCAUGGAA